rfam:Gossypium hirsutum cultivar TM-1 chromosome 4, whole genome shotgun sequence
UUUUAAAAUUUUCAUCCAUUUUUACUGUUAAAAAUUGACUCUGUACAUCAACAUAAAGUAUACAUGGCAUGCCAUGUGUAAUUAUCUAGUUAUUUUAUCAGCCAUGUUAGUUUUUAACAAUAGAAAUGGAUGAAAUUUUUUAAUA